rnacentral:lncRNA from 1 species
UGGCUUGCAGGAAGGGAGGAUGAAAUAGAAGGUGGUUAUUGUUUGGAAGGAGCGUCCCCUUUCAUGAGAACAUCAGGACUCUGGCUCUCUGGUGUCCUUUCUCUCCUUGGGAGAGUCUGUAGCCCACUAGGACCUGCUUCUGGCUCACUAAGUCUCUAAAAACUGGUCUAAGAUUGUCUGUUUCGGUCUUGACUUUAACUGUUCUAUAGUAUGACAUAUCCUUAAGCAAGUGAAUGUAACGAUUGGCUUUUUCUGUCUGGGUGUGUCUUCUCUACAAAUGUUUGUAGCUUUGUCCAUUUUUUCAGGAUUCCUUUUAUUUCAGAACUUUGUUGCACUGAUUGUUUUUCCUUUUCCUUUUUUUUUUUUUUUUUGUACUGGGGAUUGAACUCAGGACCUUGCCCUUGCCAGGUAGGUGCUGUGCCACCAAGCUAAAUCCCAGCUCCAACACUGACUGAUGAUGCUCCCCCUCCUCUUCAGAAAGCUCCUCACCUGCCAUUCUCUGUUGCUCAGCCAGAAGCUGCUGAAGACCAACUCCUCUGUUCCUCCACCAGUUCCUCAACCUCACCACUGUCUGCCUACCUGUGAGCCUGUGGACCCUGCUAUGGUAACAACGUCACCAACCAAAAGGUUUCUGCCUUAAAGAAAUCAUGAUCUCUGUGGGUGACAGACAUGCAGGCUACAUACAGAAACAGCACGAUCGAGCAGGAAAGCGUGAUAGAGUGAUAAGGCGUGGCAGAGUGGUACAGCACAGGCGUCUUGCUAAACACGGACCAGGGGAGACAACAGGCUGGGGCAGAAGGACAGCUGAGUGAUGCCAGUCAAAGCGCGGGAGAGCUGAAAGCACACUGUCUACAGAGAGCAUCUCUGAAGGCUGGGGUGGGUGAGCAGCCA